GAUGAGGUGACCGAGUGGUUAAAAGGAUGGACUUGUAAUCCGUCAGGCCCUGCCCGCGUGAGUUCGAAUUCCAUUCUCCUCA
rnacentral:tRNA from 1 species